rnacentral:other from 1 species
UACAAGCUGCGUUGUACGUAGACAUAUUAAGUUUUAACCUUUGAACUGUAAAAGGGAGUUUUAGAUCAAAGAUGGAAUGGCGAGCGUCACACUGCGGUGAAUGACGAUAUACAGGAAAUCUUUUGCGAGCACCCACUUGGUGGAGUCGUGGUUUUAAAACUUUCUAUAAUAUUACGGCAAGGCGGCUUACCC